rnacentral:rRNA from 1 species
GAUGAACGCUGGCGGCGUGCCUAAUACAUGCAAGUCGAGCGAAGCGGGGACGGUGGAGUAACACGUGGAGAACCUCCUAUAAGACUGGGAUAACUUCGGGAAACCGGAGCUAAACCGGUAACUUAUAGAUGGUUCCGCGCUGCAUUAGCUAGUUGGUAAGGUAACGGCUUACCAAGGCAACGAUGCAUAGCCGACCUGAGAGGAUGAUCGGCCACACUGGAACUGAGACACGGUGCAGAGUCCGACGUGAGUAAGCGGUAGAGAAUCUUCCGAAAUGUGCGAAAACCUGACGAGGCAACGCCGCGAGAGUGUUGAAGGUGUUCGGAUCGUAAAGCACUGUGAUUAGGGAAGCGGUACCUGAUCAGAAAGCAACGGCAAACUACGGGCCAGCAGCCGCGGUAAUAC